GCAAAUCUGGCCAAUAAAUUUAAACUGACCCGAUCUUGUCUGAUCUCAGAAGCUAAGCAGGGUCGGGCCUGGUUAGUACUUGGAUGGGAGACCACCUAGGAAUACCAGGUGCUGUAGGCA
rnacentral:rRNA from 1 species